AUUGAACGCUGGCGGCAGGCUUAACACAUGCAAGUCGAACGAGUGGCGGACGGGUGAGUAAUGCCUGGGAAUCUAGCUUAUGGAGGGGGAUAACUACGGGAAACUGUAGCUAAUACCGCGUACCAUAGGAUGAGCCCACGUGGGAUUAGGUAGUUGGUGAGGUACAGGCUCACCAAGACGACGAUCUCUCGCUGGUCUGAGAGGAUGACCAGCCACACUGGGACUGUGACACGGUCCAGACUCCUACGGGAGGCAGCAGUGGGGAAUAUUGGAAAAUGGGCGAAAGCCUGGUCCAGCCAUGCCGGGUGUAUGAAGAAGGUCGUCGGAUUGUAAAGCACUUUAAGUUGAGAGGCGUUACCAACAGAAUAAGCACCGGCUAACUUCGUGCCAGCAGCCGCGGUAAUUC
rnacentral:rRNA from 1 species